UACGAAGGGGGCUAGCGUUGUUCGGAAUCACUGGGCGUAAAGGGCGCGUAGGCGGCCUGGCAAGUCGGGGGUGAAAGCCUGUGGCUCAACCACAGAAUGGCCUUCGAUACUGCCGGGCUUGAGACCGGAAGAGGUCAGUGGAACUGCGAGUGUAGAGGUGAAAUUCGUAGAUAUUCGCAAGAACACCAGUGGCGAAGGCGGCUGACUGGUCCGGUUCUGACGCUGAGGCGCGAAAGCGUGGGGAGCAAACAGG
rnacentral:rRNA from 1 species